UCAGACGAUGCGUCAUGCAUAUCAAUAAGCGGAGGAAAAGAAACUAACAAGGAUUCCUCUAGUAACGGCGAGUGAAGCGGGAAGAGCUCAAAUUUGAAAUCUUAAAGGGUUUCCCUUUACGAAUUGUAGUUUAAAGAAGUGUUUUCUGUUGAGGUUUUGGUAAAAGUUCUUUGGAAUAGGACAUCAUAGAGGGUGAGAAUCCCGUAUUUGACCUUUACUUUCAACUUUGUGAUACACUUUCAAAGAGUCGGAUUGUUUGGGAAUGCAGUCCAAAAUGGGUGGUAAAUUUCAUCUAAAGCUAAAUAUUGGCGAGAGACCGAUAGCGAACAAGUACCGUGAGGGAAAGAUGAAAAGAACUUUGAAAAGAGAGUUAAACAGUACGUGAAAUUGUCAAAAGGGAAGCGUUUGACACCAGUGUUGUUUUUCUGAAAAUCAAUUAAAGAGCUGUUUAUGCUAAGCUGUUUAGACUUUAUCAGCUAAUCUGUUUAGUUUUGAGCUUUUCUUUAAUGCACUUUUCAGUUAACAAGUCAACAUCAAUUUCUUAUGCUGUAAAAAAGCUUGAGGAAGGUGGCUUGAGAUUCGUCUUAAGUGUUUAUAGCCUCUUGCCUAUGCAGUCGGAGAGAUUGAGGUCUGCAGCGUAGAUCCUUCGGGGCUAAAUGCAUUUGUGCUAAGUUAUAGCAUUUUAUAGACAACUUGUUGACUAUGAUUUGUCUUGUAGCUUACUCGCUUAUGUUAUUUUACCUACGCUUAGGAUGUUGAAUCUGUGCGAGACUAC
rnacentral:rRNA from 1 species